CUCCUUUUGCUCUGCACUCCCAUGUGUUGCACUGAGUUUGAUUGCAUUGUUUGCUCUGUUCUUGGAGUUGUUUGCUCUGUUCCUUCUGCAUUCCCAUGUGUUGGGAUGAGUUUGCGUUGUUUGCUCUGUUCCUUUUGCUCUGCACCCCCAUGUGUUGCAAUGACUUUGCGUUGUUUGCUCUGUUCUUGGAGCUGCAAGGGCUGUUUGUUUUGCUCUGCACCCCCAUUUGUUGUUGGGAUGAGUUUGAUUGCAUUGUGUCUGUUCCUUUUGCUCUGCACCCCCAUGUGUUGCAAUGACUUUGCGUUGUUUGCUCUGCUCCUUCUGCUCUGCACUCCACGUGUUGGGAUGAGUUUGAUUGCAUUGUUUGCUUUGUUCUUGGAGUUGUUUGCUCUGUUCCUUUUGCAUUCCCAUCUGUUCCUUCUGCACUCCCAUGUGUUGCAAUGAGUUUGCGUUGUUUGCUCUGCUCCCUUUGCUCUGCCCUCCCAUUUGUUGUUGGGAUGACUUUGCGUUGUUUGCUCUGUUCCUUUUGCACUCCCACGUGUUGGGAUGAGUUUUAACUGCAUUGUUUGCUCUGUUCUUGGAGUUGCAAGGGCUGCUCCUUUUGCUCUGCACUCCCAUUUGUUGUUGGGAUGAGUUUGCAUUGUUUGCUCUGUCCCUUUUGCUCUGCACCCCCAUGUGUUGCAAUGACUUUGCGUUGUUUGCUCUGCUCCGUUUGCUCUGCACUCCACGUAUUGGGAUGAGUUUGAUUGCAUUGUUUGCUCUGUUCUUGGAGUUGCAAGGGCUGUUCCUUUUGCAUUCCCAUUUGUUCCUUUUGCAUUCCCAUUUGCAUCUGUUCCUUUUGCACUCCCACGUGUUGGGAUGAGUUUUAACUGCAUUGUUUGCUCUGUUCUUGGGGUUGCAAGGGCUGUUUGUUUUGCUCUGCACUUCCGUUUGUUGUUGGGAUGAGUUUGCAUUGUUUGCUCUGUUCCUUUUGCUCUGCACCCCCAUGUGUUGCAAUGACUUUGCAUUGUUUGCUCUGCUCCCUUUGCUCUGCACCCCCACGCAUUGGGAUGAGUUUGAUUGCAUUAUUUGCUCUGUUGUUAGAGCUGUUUGCUCUGCUCCCUUUGCUCUGCACCCCCAUGCAUUGGGAUGAGUUUGAUUGCAUUAUUUGCUCUGUUCUUGGAGCUGUUUGCUCUGCUCCCUUUGCUCUGCACCCCCACGCAUUGGGAUGUUCUGACUGCGUUGUUUGCUCUGUUGCUCCAUCGCGUCGCGUCGGCCUCGCGAGGCUCAGAAAGGAAAGAAAUUAAACCAAAAUAACAACAAAGCAGCAAAAAAAACUCGCCUACAAUGUGAGGAAAUAGGAACCGCCGCCUUCCUGCCCCUGCUGCUGCUCCAUCACGUGUGUGUGUGUGUGUGUGUGUGUGUGUGUGUGUGUGCAGGGCAGGAAGCCGCAGUGGGACGCAGC
rnacentral:lncRNA from 1 species